rnacentral:rRNA from 1 species
CCUACGGGAUGCAGCAGUGAGGAAUAUUGGUCAAUGGACGAGAGUCUGAACCAGCCAAGUAGCGUGAAGGAUGACUGCCCUAUGGGUUGUAAACUUCUUUUAUAAAGGAAUAAAACGAGGCACGUGUGCCUUUUUGCAUGUACUUUAUGAAUAAGGAUCGGCUAACUCCGUGCCAGCAGCCGCGGUAAUACGGGGGGUCCGAGCGUUCUCCGGAUUUAUUGGGUUUAAAGGGAGGUUAGAUGGGUUUUUAAGUCAGGUGUGAAAGUUUGCGGCUCAACCGUAAAAUUGCAGUUGAUACUGGCAGUCUUGAGUACAGGUGAGGUAGGCGGAAUUCGUGGUGUAGCGGUGAAAUGCUUAGAUAUCACGAAGAACCCCGAUUGCGAAGGCAGCUUACUAGACUGUGACUGACAUUGAUGCUCGAAAGUGUGGGUAUCAAACAGGAUUAGAUACCCCAGUAGUC